rnacentral:rRNA from 1 species
CCGCACGGGUGAGUAAUACGUAUCCAACCUGCCGUCUACUCUUGGCCAGCCUUCUGAAAGGAAGAUUAAUCCAGGAUGGCAUCAUGAGUUCACAUGUCCGCAUGAUUAAAGGUAUUUUCCGGUAGACGAUGGGGAUGCGUUCCAUUAGAUAGUAGGCGGGGUAACGGCCCACCUAGUCAACGAUGGAUAGGGGUUCUGAGAGGAAGGCCCCCCACAUUGGAACUGAGACACGGUCCAA